AGGAUUUAAUUGAUUUUUGCAAAGAUACGGGUUUGCAAUCCAGUGUUGCUGCCACUAGAAAUGCCACUAUUAAACUAAUUGGUGCUUUACAUAAGUUUGUUGGUCCAGACAUCAAGGGAUUUCUUUCAGAUGUCAAACCUGCUCUUCUAAGUGCACUUGAAGCUGAGUGU